rnacentral:rRNA from 1 species
CGGGAUUCCCUGAGUAAGGGCGACUGAAACGGGACCUAGCCCAGCGCAUAACCUCGCGGUUCGGACAGAGCCGACGAGGGGUGUUGCGUAUCGGUGGAUCCGUCCCGCCCGUGCCCUACCGCCUAAGUCCAAGUAGGAAUACAGCCCCAUGGAGGGUGAGAGGCCCGUGUGGCGGCGCCCGCAAGGGCUACUAGGGCGCGAGCGGAGGGAUCGCUUCACCGGAGAGUCGGGUUGCUUAAUACUGCAGCCCUAAGAGAGGUGGUAAACUCCAUCUAAGGCUAAAUAUAACCACGAGUCCGAUAGGAGACAAGUACCGUGAGGGAAAGUUGAAAAGGACUUUGAAGAGAGAGUUCAACAGUACGUGAAGCCGUUAGAAGCCUAAACGGGUGGAACCGCGAAGGUCGAACGAGGGCACUCACCUCGUCGGGCGGGCGGGACUCGGGGCGCUCCGACAGGCCGGCGCCGAAGCCUAUUAUAACCGAUUAGAGCGCAGGAGCACCCCGUCUGUCGCGUCCCGUUCCGGCGGGCGUAAUUGUCCCUCUAGUAGCACACGCCGCGAGCCGUGGCGGGGACCGCGGGCCCACACAGCUCGGAUUGGUACCCUCUGUCCGGAGGGGAAACCGUUGGCUGGGAAGCAGUCGGUGACCCUGCCACGGCAUGGCCCAGGGGCAGCUGCCACCUAGGCGGCUGCCUCGCGGCGGAGAACGAAGUCGGUGAUCCACCUGACCCGUCUUGAAACACGGACCAAGGAGUCUAACAAGUGUGCGAGUCUAAGGGUCCCUCGAGACCUGGAGGCGCAGUGAAAGUGAGUGAGAUAUAAGCACAGGCCGAUCCCAGACAUGGGCGCAGGCCGGGGACUUGCCGCCAGGCGGCCGUCGACGGCCUCCCUCGCCCUUCGCGGGGCGGGACGGGGCUCCGGCGGUCCGCCGGCAAGUACCUCGAGAGCACACGCGUUGGGACCCGAAAGAUGGUGAACUAUGCCUGGCCAGGACGAAGCCAGAGGAAACUCUGGUGGAGGUCCGAACCAGUUCUGACGUGCAAAUCGAUUGUCAGAGCUGGGUAUAGGGGCGAAAGACUAAUCGAACCA